CAGAGAGGUGUCCUGGGCACAGACCCCACCCAUGAGCCUGAGAAGUGCUCCUGCCCCGGGAAGAGGCUCAGCACAGGAGGAGGAAGGACAGCACAGCUGACAGCCGUGCUCACAAAGUUUCUGGAUCCCAGGAUCAUCUCCACAGAGGAGAACAUGCAGGCAGCACAGGCCAUGGGGCCCCUCUCAGCCCCUCCCUACACACUGCACAUCACCUGGAAGGAGCUCCUGCUCACAGCAUCACUUUUAAUCUUCUGGAACCCGCCCACUACUGCCCAAGUUGUGAUUGAAGCCCAGCCAGCCAAAGUUUCCGAGGGGAAGGAUGUUCUUCUACUUGUCCACAAUUUGCCCCAGAAUCUUGCUGCCUGCAUCUGGUAAAAAGGGCAAAUAAUGGACCUCCAAUAUUACAUUACAGCAUAUGUAAGAGAUGCUGAAACAAUUAUAUUUGGGCCUGCAUACAGUGGACGAGAAACAGUAUAUUCCAAUGCAUCCCUACUGAUCCAGAAUGUCACCCAGAAGGACACAGGAUCCUACACCAUACAAAUCAUAAAGCGAGGUGAUAAGACUAAAGGAGUAACUGGACAUUUCACCUUAUACCGUGAGUGAUUCCACAUGAUCCCUGGGUGUUGGAGGGUGGGGGUCACUUCUAUUUUGCACACACAGGAUGGUCAGGCCUGGACUGUGCCUGUGUCCCUCUCUGCAUUAUG